AUCAUACUUCCUCCGUCCGAAAAUACUUGUCAUAAGAAUAGAUGUAUCUAGAGGUAUUUUAGUAUUAGAUACAUCCAUUCUUAUUCAUUUGUUCGACAAGUAAUACCGGACGGAGGGAGUAAUAA
rfam:Hordeum vulgare subsp. vulgare, WGS project CAJW01000000 data, contig: morex_contig_1582185